GGAAGAGUAUCGAAGUGGUCAUAACGAGCUGCACUCGAAAUGCAGUCAUCCGUAAGGGUGCAUGGGUUCGAAUCCCAUCUCUUCCGCCA
rnacentral:tRNA from 1 species